rnacentral:misc_RNA from 1 species
GAUGAAGAACGUAGCGAAAUGCGAUAAGUAAUGUGAAUUGCAGAAUUCAGUGAAUCAUCGAAUCUUUGAACGCAUCUUGCGCUCCUUGGUAUUCUGAGGAGCAUGCCUGUUUGAGUGUCAUUAAAUUCUCAAAUACACUGACUUUGAAUUGGUGUGGCUUGGAUUUGGGGGGAAAAUUGUUGUGGGCUUUUUGUAUAGUCUGCUCCCCUGAAAUUGAUUAGCGGUACCUUUGUGGAACUGUCUACAGGUGUGCUAAUUAUCUACAUCUUAGACAUCUGCUGGAAUGCUGCUUUCUAAACCUUACUUGUAUUGACAAUCUUGACCUCAAAUCAGGUAGGACUACCCGCUGAACUUAAGCAUAUCAAUAAGCGGAGGA